CAUAUCAAUAAGCGGAGGAAAAGAAACCAACAGGGAUUGCCCUAGUAACGGCGAGUGAAGCGGCAACAGCUCAAAUUUGAAAUCUGGCUCUUUCAGAGCCCGAGUUGUAAUUUGCAGAGGGCGCUUUGGCGUUGGCAGCGGUCCAAGUUCUUUGGAACAGGACGUCACAGAGGGUGAGAAUCCCGUACGUGGUCGCUAUCCUUCGCCGUGUAAAGCCCCUUCGACGAGUCGAGUUGUUUGGGAAUGCAGCUCUAAAUGGGAGGUAAAUUUCUUCUAAAGCUAAAUACUGGCCAGAGACCGAUAGCGCACAAGUAGAGUGAUCGAAAGAUGAAAAGCACUUUGGAAAGAGAGUCAAAUAGCACGUGAAAUUGUUGAAAGGGAAGCGCUUGCAGCCAGACUUGCCUGUAGUUGCUUAUCCGGACUUUUGUCCGGUGCACUCUUCUGCGGGCAGGCCAGCAUCAGUUUGGGCGGUUAGAUAAAGGUCUCUGUCACGUACCUCUCUUCGGGGAGGCCUUAUAGGGGAGACGACAUGUAACCAGCCUGGACUGAGGUCCGCGCAUCUGCUAGGAUGCUGGCGUAAUGGCUGUAAGCGGCCCGUCUUGAAACACGGACCAAGGAGUCUAACAUCUAUGCGAGUGUUUGGGUGUCAAGCCCAGACGCGUAAUGAAAGUGAACGGAGGUAGGAACCCUUUGGGUGCACUAUCGACCGAUCCUGAUGUCUUCGGAAGGAUUUGAGUAAGAGCAUGGCUGUUGGGACCCGAAAGAUGGUGAACUAUGCUUGAAUAGGGUGAAGCCAGAGGAAACUCUGGUGGAGGCUCGCAGCGGUUCUGACGUGCAAAUCGAUCGUCAAAUUUGGGCAUAGGGGCGAAAGACUAAUCGAAC
rnacentral:rRNA from 4 species